rnacentral:snRNA from 1 species
CAACUCUGGUUUCUCUCAAUCACGCACAAGUUUUUCCCGCCUUUUACUAAAGACUUCCGUGGAGAGCAACGCUUACGAGUUCAACGUAUUUUUGGACGGGCUUUGCUCCCGGCAGAGCC